AAGUCGUAACAAGGUUUCCGUAGGUGAACCUGCGGAAGGAUCAUUACAUUCAGUAGCCUAGCUACUUGUUUACACCCUUGUUUUUUGCGUACCAAUUGUUUCCUCGGCGAGCUUGCUCGCCGGCUGGACAACACUAUAACCUUUUUAAAUCUUCAAUCAGCGUCUGAAUUAUUUAUAAUAAUUACAACUUUCAACAACGGAUCUCUUGGUUCUG
rnacentral:misc_RNA from 1 species